rnacentral:rRNA from 1 species
GGACAAUGGGCGCAAGCCUGAUCCAGCCAUGCCGCGUGCAGGAUGAAGGCCUUCGGGUUGUAAACUGCUUUUGUACGGAACGAAAAGGUGCCUUCUAAUAAAGGGCGCUCAUGACGGUACCGUAUGAAUAAGCACCGGCUAACUACGUGCCAGCAGCCGCGGGAAUACGUAGGGUGCGAGCGUUAAUCGGAAUUACUGGGCGUAAAGCGUGCGCAGGCGGUUUUGUAAGACAGAGGUGAAAUCCCCGGGCUCAACCUGGGAACUGCCUUUGUGACUGCAAAGCUGGAGUGCGGCAGAGGGGGAUGGGAUUCCGCGUGUAGCAGUGAAAUGCGUAGAUAUGCGGAGGAACACCGAUGGCGAAGGCAAUCCCCUGGGCCUGCACUGACGCUCAUGCACGAAAGCGUGGGGAGCAA